UAUCUGGUUGAUUCUGCCAGUAGUCAUAUGCUUGUCUCAAAGAUUAAGCCAUGCAUGUCUAAGUAUAAGCAAUUUAUACGGUGAAACUGCGAAUGGCUCAUUAAAUCAGUUAUCGUUUAUUUGAUAGUACCUUACUACAUGGAUACCUGUGGUAAUUCUAGAGCUAAUACAUGCUGAAAACCUCGACUUCGGAAGGGGUGUAUUUAUUAGAUAAAAAACCAAUGCCCUUCGGGGCUCCUUGGUGAAUCAUAAUAACUUAACGAAUCGCAUGGCCUUGCGCCGGCGAUGGUUCAUUCAAAUUUCUGCCCUAUCAACUUUCGAUGGUAGGAUAGUGGCCUACCAUGGUGGCAACGGGUAACGGGGAAUUAGGGUUCGAUUCCGGAGAGGGAGCCUGAGAAACGGCUACCACAUCCAAGGAAGGCAGCAGGCGCGCAAAUUACCCAAUCCCGACACGGGGAGGUAGUGACAAUAAAUACUGAUACGGGGCUCUUUUGGGUCUCGUAAUUGGAAUGAGUACAAUCUAAAUCCCUUAACGAGGAACAAUUGGAGGGCAAGUCUGGUGCCAGCAGCCGCGGUAAUUCCAGCUCCAAUAGCGUAUAUUAAAGUUGUUGCAGUUAAAAAGCUCGUAGUUGAACCUUGGGUUCGGCCGGCCGGUCCGCCUCACCGCGAGUACUGUCCGGCCGUUCCUUUCCUUCUGGGGAAUCCCAUGGCCUUCACUGGCUGUGGGGGGGAACCAGGACUUUUACUGUGAAAAAAUUAGAGUGUUCAAAGCAGGCCUUUGCUCGAAUACAUUAGCAUGGAAUAAUAGAAUAGGACGUGUGGUUCUAUUUUGUUGGUUUCUAGGACCGCCGUAAUGAUUAAUAGGGAUAGUCGGGGGCGUCAGUAUUCAGCUGUCAGAGGUGAAAUUCUUGGAUUUGCUGAAGACUAACUACUGCGAAAGCAUUCGCCAAGGA
rnacentral:ncRNA from 1 species